rnacentral:rRNA from 1 species
UACAGAGGUCUCAAGCGUUGUUCGGAAUCACUGGGCUUAAAGGGCGCGUAGGCGGGCAAGCAAGUCGAAGGUGAAAUCCCACGGCUCAACCGUGGAAGUGCCCCCGAUACUGCUUGUCUUGAGGGAGAUAGGGGCGUGCGGAACUUCCGGUGGAGCGGUGAAAUGCGUAGAUAUCGGAAGGAACACCGGUGGCGAAAGCGGCGCGCUGGAUCUCUUCUGACGCUGAGGCGCGAAAGCCAGGGGAGCAAACGGG